AUUGAACGCUGGCGGCAUGCCUUACACAUGCAAGUCGAACGGUAACAGGUCUUCGGAUGCUGACGAGUGGCGAACGGGUGAGUAAUACAUCGGAACGUGCCUAGUAGUGGGGGAUAACUACUCGAAAGAGUGGCUAAUACCGCAUGAGAUCUACGGAUGAAAGCAGGGGAUCGCAAGAACUUGUGCUACUACAGCGGCCGAUGGCAGAUUAGGUAGUUGGUGGGAUAAAAGAUUACCAAGCCGCCGAUCUGUAGCUGGUCUGAGAGGACGAUCAGCCACACUGGGACUGAGACACGGCCCAGACUCCUACGGGAGGCAGCAGUGGGGAAUUUUGGACAAUGGGCGCAAGCCUGAUCCAGCAAUGCCGCGUGCAGGAUGAGGGCCUUCGGGUUGUAAACUGCUUUUGUACGGAACGAAAAGCCCUGGGUUAAUACCCUGGGGUCAUGACGGUACCGUAAGAAUAAGCACCGGCUAACUACGUGCCAGCCGCCGCAGUAAGAC
rnacentral:rRNA from 1 species